rnacentral:tRNA from 1 species
CCGCGCUUAGCUCAGUUGGCUAGAGCAUUCGACUGAUACUCGAAGGGUCCUAGGUUCAAAUCCUAGAGCGCGGA